rnacentral:lncRNA from 1 species
CAAGAGCCUGACGUAGCACAGUCUCGGUCUGAACACACACACCCUCGAUACAAUCGACCACCACAAGCGCACCAUCGGUAAUACGGAGCGCAGCAGUGACCUCAGAGGAGAAGUCAACGUGGCCAGGAGAGUCGAUGAGAUUGAUAAGGUACUCGUUUCCAUCUCUGGCACCAGUGAAGCUCUUCAAGGAAGCAUCAGUCAUCUCGUAGUAGAGAGAGAUACCCGUGGACUUGAUAGUGAUACCACGUUCAGCCUCAUCAGCACGGGUAUCAGUCAUACGGACAUCACCAGCAACUUCUUGAGCAAUGAUACCAGCAGCAGCAACCAAGGAGUCAGUGAGUGUGGAUUUACCUGUCAAUCACAAGAUAUAUAAAAGCAUAAGAGACAAUAGAACAGAGUAGUAGGAAACUAAUUAAGUCUGAAAAUUAAAAAAAGACAGUACCAUGGUCGACAUGGGCAAUAACGGACAUGUUACGGAUGUUGUGUUUGUAAUCCAUAAUCCUCCGAAGCUCAUCGGAUGUGAACUUCACCUACAAGUUCAUUAAAAUAAACAAAUAUUUAAGCUUAGAAUCAACAAAAAUAACAACAACAACAAGGCAAAGUAAAAGAUAGUAUAAAAAAGUUAUAAGGCUUUACCAUUUUGACUAACUCUUAUUCUUCACCUACAAUAUCUCUGCAACCACAGAAACAAUAAUAAGAAUUAAUCAACUGAAAUGAAACGAUUUAAAAAAAAAAAUUAACACCAAAAUAAAAUCUCAUAAUCUUCUGAACUUGAAGCUUUUCAACACAGAAAAAUAGAAGAACAGCUCACAAUCAAAUGGUAUUUAUACAUUUCUACGAACAGAUCUAAAGAGACGAGACAGAACGAUAACCAAAAAUGAAAUUAACAACUAAGAGUCAAGGGGGAUUGGUUAAUCUAAACAUCGAAAGCUAAAACUAUGGAGAUUCAAUACGAAAACUAAGCAUCAACAAUCGGAGAUCGUAACAAGGAGGAGACGGACUAACAUUGGAGGGGAAGGAGAGAGAGAGACGAGCUUGAGAGAGCAGAGAUUGAGUGGAGGCGUUCGAUAUAUUCCCUUAUCUCUUCUAGGGUUUUCUCUCUGUUCUUUCGUGGGCCUCUUCGGCCCGAUACAAUAUUGGCCCAAUAGUGGCUAAUAUUUAAUAUUUUGGCCCAAUAUAGUUCGUGUAAGAUUUUGCUUUGAAGUUUUAUGGAAUUUGUUUUAGUUAUAAUGAGCAGUAUUACAAGUGAACAUAAUUUUGUACUAUUAUUUAAACUAAGACUUUAUGAUAGAUUUAUUAUAAAUAAACGGUUUGGAGGAAUCAAUGACGAAAUAUUAACUAUGUUUCCGGUAAUAUUCUAAACAAUAUUUGACAUAACAAUAUUAUUUUCUUUUAUUAUUAUUAUCUUUUAGACAUUAUAAUAUCGAUAUGUUGUGUAUCUGAUUCUGUAUAUGGAAUUUUAAAACCAUCCGAAUAUGUAAAGGCUUUUAAAUUACGGUUUAUCAUAUUCAAGCUUUACGCUAUUCACAACAUUCCAGUGGAAUCAAACAAACAAAAGAUUAACAAUUUAUCUUAUUAUUAAAAAAAAAUCUCCCAAAUGUAGUUUCCAAUUUACUGCUUUGCUCCACGCAUUGACGCUUCAUUUGUUCAACAACUUCAAAACCAGACUGGCAAACCCCAAAGCAACUUAUACAGAACAAUAUAAUCUCCAUUAACUUGGAGAACCGUGACAUCAUUAUUACAUACAAAAGGUUGAUCAUCAUCAGUCACUAGGAAGACUUAAACAUCAGUCGUGACUGCGAAUUAACCCUUGCGGCCUGAUUUCUCUCCUACAAGCUUCGUCUGGAUUGAAAUCAAAAGAAAAAUGGUGUAAUCAGAAAAAAUUAAAUACAAUUAUUCACAGGACGUGGGUGAAUAAGAUGCAACAGAAAAUCCAAAACCUUGUAGUUAUUUUUUCUUGACAUCAAAUCCCAUAGGUGCUGAUGCGGCCUCUAUUUUUGUGACUAUCUCAUUAGCCGGACAUUUUGAAGUAAACUGAGUUUUCCGUUUGACAAGCCCCUGAAAUUAAGCACUGAUUAUCGAAGGGAAAUAAAAAUUGUGAAAUUGGUAUUAUGAUGAACUACUUAUACCACUACUUAAAUUUUGCCUUACUUAGCAGUUUAAAGUACUUUUUGUGGAUUACGAUCCACAUUAAUCAAAUCUUAUCAUUUCAAGCAUUUUAAAUAUAUCAUAUAAUCUAAAAAAUUAUUUUAUUCUGAUUAUUUUUGAAUAAUCACAAAUAAUAAAUAGUAAAAAUUUGAUGUUAUUGGAAGAAUAUCAAGAACCACUGGAACCUUAGCAAUUAAUCUAAAUUUGUAAUGUUGGUAUACAUUCAAAACAUGGUUGAUUGUUUCUUUUGCUGCACACCUUACAUAUUAUGUAUAACACUUAUUCUCAUUAGAUUUGAUAUAACUGUAUUACAAUCCAACAUUAUUUGUCCAAUAAUCUGUCAUCAUUUUGGUGGCACUUGAAUUUCCAAAGAGUGUGGCUGCAAAUAUAUGCUUGUUUUAAUAACCCAAGCGAUUUUACAAUGUAAUGUCAUAUUUAGAAAUUUUUGUUUUUUAUGAGAAAAAAUGUGCUUCUUGCUACGAUAAUACAGUUUUGUUUUGGCUAAUCCGAAUCUUUAUUUAACUGAUCAACUACACUAUGGAGAAGCAGAUUAAUGAUAAUAAGUUUGAAAAGGGGUUGGUCGAACCAGUUUUGUCAUUCAUUAUCUUCGACGGUGAUUGGUAUCUCUCUCAAUAACGCUAUCUUACAUUUUCUCUUUGCACCAAAACAGGAUGCGUCUUUGAUUAGAACCGCAUUCAUCAUACAAUUUCAAGAUUAUACGAUGACAUUUGAAAAACAUAAAACGACCAAGAGUUAAUUAUUCUGAGCCUAUAGUUGCAAGAUAGGAUAUAUUAUGAUGAAUGCUCUUCGACAUAUAGAUGAGAUAAGCAAUGCCAUAAAGAAAAAGAGAUUUUCUGGCUUAUAAAAUACAAAAAUACAAAAACAACUCGAGGGAUCCUUUAAAAAAAAGAAAGACGGUCUCUGUGUUAUAAGUUUUUAGUAGAGUUUUAACUUCAACACCGCAAUAAGGGAAUCAAAAUAUCUGACCUAACAAAACCUCAUCUUCCCUACACCUGCAGAGCAUCAACCUAUGGUUAUGCCUUGGACACUAGCAUCUUAUUGCUUGCAAUGCAUAACAGCAUAUAACAACGUUCCAGUGAUAACAGGAUAACAAGAGUGCAAAGAGUGAACACAUAAGAAGUUUUCUCAACUUCAAGAGUGCAAAGAGUAAACACAUAAGGAUGUGGCAACACAGAUAAAGUCAUAACACCAAAACAGAGUAAACAAAAAUACGGUAGAUAUAACAACGUUCCAAUGAAAACAGGAUAACAAGAGUGCAAAAAAGAGUAAACACAAAGAUAAACCAGUUUUCAACUAAAAAAGUAAAACAUUCAAGAGGAUUGUGGCCACAGAUAAAGUGAUAUCAUAACACCAAAACAGAGCUAACAGUAAACAAAAUACGGUAGAGAUGGAGAGAAAAAGGUGACCAUAGUGAGUCUUGUUGGCUGCUGCUUAUAGCUUGUCUUCGAAGUCAGACAAGGGAGUCAUCUGUUCCUUCAUACCCUUCCUCUUCCUGAUGUCAGUCACAAGCGUUGAAGCCUGCGAUCCUGCCUCCAAUGGGUCAGACGACAUCAUCUCCCAAUGAUCAAACACACACUGAGGGAAGGCCUGUCCUGAGGUUGCUGCUCUAAGCUGACUUGAGAAUCCAAAUGACUCAACAACUGGCAGGUACGCCUUGAUGUUGUACAGCGGUGUUCCUGGCCUCUGCAUCUCCUCAAAGACGUGUCCACGCUUCUGAUUCAGCACGCUGUAGAUUCCACCAAGAGCUCCCUCUGGUGCUUGGAUCUCCACCAUGUAAACCGGUUCCAACAAUCUGGGCUUGGCAGUGAGCUGCGAGGCGUAGAUAACUCUCCUCGCUGUUGGGAUAACCUGACCACCACCUCUGUGGAUAGCAUCGGAGUGGAGCACAACAUCGCAGACCUCAAAGCAGAUUCCUCUCAUAUUCUCAUCACAAAGAGGACCUUCCUUGGAAGCCCACUGGAACCCAGCAACAACAGAAUCCUUGAUCUCAUUCAGGUAUUGAACUCCCUUACACAUGUCAACAACCAUGUUGGGCCCUGUGGUUUCAGGUCCAAACGCCCAUAUCUUCUUCGCAAGAUCCUUGUCCCAACCAAACUCCUCAGCCAAGAUCUUGGAACGUAUCUUGGGAUCAUCUCUUGGACCAAUACGGCCUUCAUCUAUUGCCUCCGCAAGACCAUCCUCCAAGGGCCUAGCCUCCAUGUACAGACGGUUGUGCUUGUUUGGGGACUUGCUCAUCACAGUACGCACAGAUCGCUCCAAAACAGUCUCACGGAAUGAGACGACAGGGUCUGACUUGACAAUCUCAGCACCACCCAUGAAAUCAUCCUGAAGAUCCUUCAAGCAAAUCUCAAGAUGCAGUUCUCCGGCACCAGCAACAAUGUGCUCACCUGACUCCUCCAUCGUGCACACAACCAUAGGGUCAGACUUGGCCAGCCUCUUAAGUCCCUCAACAAGCUUGGGAAGAUCAGAAGCGACCUUGCACUGAACAGCAACACGUACAACAGGGGACACAGAGAACUUCAUUGCACGGAUAGGAUGAGCAUCAACUUCUUUCUCAUUCGUCAGCGUAGCAUUCUUAGUGAUGAACUGAUCAAGACCAACCAUAGCAACGGUGUUACCACAGGGAACAUCCUCAACAGUCUCUUGCCUCUUGCCCAUCCAGAUGACAGUCCUCUGAACACUCUUGACAUAAAGAUCUUUCUUCUCACCAGGAACAAAGUUGGGACCCAUGAUCCUGACCUUCAUACCGGUAGACACCUUUCCAGAGAAGACACGUCCAAAAGCAAAGAAUCUUCCCUUGUCUGAAGCGGGAAUCAUCUUAGAAACAUAGAGCAUGAGCGGACCAUUAGGAUCACAGUUUCUGAUGGCAGUGGCAUACUGAUCAUCGAGAGGACCUUCAUAUAAAUUCUCAACACGGUACCUCUGUGCAGUGUGGGGGGAUGGAAGGUGAAAGAUCAUCAUCUCAAGCAAUGCAGUGCUGGCAGGGAGCCAAGUCUGCAUGACACGCUUCAUCAAAGGUUUACCCAUAAGCUCCUUCUCAUCAGACUUCAUCUGGACACCAAGCUUCUGCAACAUAGGCCACAACUUAUCCUUCUGGUCGUUCAUGCAAGUGGCGAUGAUCUGCUUGAUGGGUUCAUAACAGAACUGCACAAACCCACGCUUGCAGGUAGCGGACCCAGUGUUCUUGCUGCUCCAUUUCCUGGUGGCAGGGUCAAAGAAGUUCUCACCCCACAGCCUCUCCAUCAUCUUAGUCUCGUCAACACCGAACUUGGAAGCAUACAUCUUGGCAAAGUUGGUCAGGGUGAAAGCCCAUCCGUGGAGACCAGCAGAGAAGGCAACAGUUCCCUUCUCAGGGUAAACCUGAACAUCACCAAGGAGAGGAUCCUCGUACGUUGCCAUGAUGACAUUGGCAUUCUCAAUGACCCUCUGGAAAGUCUGGUAAGCCUCCUCACCAUCAACCUGAAGCUCAAGGAAACACCUGUCCAUCUUGUUCACAGUAAGCACGGGCCUAAUCCUCUCACCAAGGGCCUGACGUAGCACAGUCUCGGUCUGAACACAGACACCCUCGAUACAGUCGACCACCACAAGGGCACCAUCGGUGAUACGGAGAGCAGCAGUGACCUCAGAGGAAAAGUCAACGUGGCCAGGAGAGUCGAUGAGGUUGAUAAGGUACUCGUUACCAUCUCUAGCACCAGUGAAGCUCUUCAAGGAAGCAUCAGUCAUCUCGUAGUAGAGAGAGAUACCCGUGGACUUGAUAGUGAUACCACGUUCAGCCUCAUCAGCACGAGUAUCAGUCAUACGGACAUCUCCAGCAACUU